GUAGGGAAUCUUCCACAAUGGACGAAAGUCUGAUGGAGCAACGCCGCGUGAGUGAAGAAGGUCUUCGGAUCGUAAAACUCUGUUGUUAGAGAAGAACGUGCAUGAUAGUAACUGAUCAUGUAAUGACGGUAUCUAACCAGAAAGCCACGGCUAACUACGUGCCAGCAGCCGCGGUAAUACGUAGGUGGCAAGCGUUGUCCGGAUUUAUUGGGCGUAAAGGGAACGCAGGCGGUUUUUUAAGUCUGAUGUGAAAGCCUUCGGCUUAACCGAAGAAUAGCAUUGGAAACUGGAAGAAUUGAGUGCAGAAGAGGAGAGUGGAAUUCCAUGUGUAGCGGUGAAAUGCGUAGAUAUAUGGAGGAACACCAGUGGCGAAGGCGGCUUUCUGGACGGUGUCUGACACUGAGGCGCGAAAGCCAGGGGAGCGAACGGGAUUAGAAACCCUUGUAGUCC
rnacentral:rRNA from 1 species